rnacentral:lncRNA from 1 species
GCAUUAUCUCUCCCCAAUAUGUCCACUUAGUUAUUUGUGUGUGCCCAUCUCCUUUACUAGAGUGUUCAUGUUUUGAGUCAGGAUGUUUUGGUCACUUCUGUAUCAUUAGGGCCUAGUACAGCACCUGGCUUAGGGCAGCUGCUCAGUGAAUAUUUGUGGCAUGAAUAAACAGGAAGAUGAAUGCAGAGCACAGGCAGGAUGUCUGGUGAGCUGAGUGAACAAAUGGUGAGAAGCCUGGUGUUACAGAGUGGGGGAAGCAGCAGAGAAAUCUAAGAGGCUGCAAUGGGGUUGGUGCACAGUGGCUUCAGAGGCAGGCUAUGAAUCCCUGGUUUAAUAUAAAGUCAAUAUCAGGAAGUUGAAUUCUUAUACUUGUUUUUUUCUUCUCAUUAUAGGCCUAGGAUACAGUUUAUCUUUUCAUGCUUCUUUAGGUUAUCCUUUUCCACAGUCAUCUUCCAAAAACUGACAGUUCCCCAAUUUACACCUCCAUUUUACAUCUCCUGACUUCCAGGGUCACAUUAACUACAUGGUAUGCAGUGUGUGUGUGUAGCUGAGAAUCAAACCCAAGGCAUGCUAGGCAAGAGCUCUACCACUGAGCUACAUCCCCAGCCUUAAAUACACAAUAAAUGCAAUCAGUCACAAGACACUUUCAACUCAAAGUAUCCAAAAUUACUGCAUCCACUUCCUUUCUACCCGCAAAUAAAUUGUUUGUUAUCCAUGCCCCUUGGCUACAUCAAAUCCUCACCUAAGUGUCUGCUGUGGUUUAUAUGGCUUAAGCAUGUCCCCCAUUGAUUCAUGUAAUGGGAAAUCUUGAUCCCCAAUGUGGCAAUAUUGAAAGAUGGUGGAGUCUUUAAGAGGUGGGCAUGUCAUUGGAAGGUAUUAAUUCU